rnacentral:misc_RNA from 1 species
GGAAGUAAAAGUGUAACAAGGUUUCCGUAGGUGAACCUGCGGAAGGAUCAUUAUCGUACACAAUGUGAGGGGCAUGCGAGGGCUGUCGCUGACCCAACAGUCGUGCACGCCCGAGUGUGUCCUCUUGCAUAAUAAUCCAUCUCACCCUUUGUGCAUCACCGCGUGGUCACCCUUCGGGAUCAUCUCGGAGGGGGGCUCGCGUUUUCACACAAACCCCCCUUUUAAAAGUGUGGAAUGACCACAUUUAUGCAAUCAAUACAACUUUCAACAACGGAUCUCUUGGCUCUC